AGGAUAAUGCUAUAAAAAAACACUAGCAAAUUAGAAACAUAUUAUAGUCAGUGAAUAAAAUCUUUAGCUACAAUGUCAUAUUUCUGAAGGAGGUUUUGGUGAUUUGUUUUUAAUUGAAAUAGCCGUUUUUAUUUUAUUUUAAUGAAUAUAUAUAUAUAUAUUCAAAUUGAAUUACUUGUAGGCUCGUCUUUAUUGAUGUUCAAACUGUGGAGUGAAUUUUUAUAAAAAAAGAAAAAACAAUGGAGUGCAUCAUGGCUAAUUAUUACAAACCUUACAUUUCAAUUGUUCUAAGUAUUAAGUAAUAUUUAAGGUUUCACAUAGCAAGCAUAUAUGUAUGACAGUAUGAGUAUCAACUAUCAACAUAGGAGAAACACAAGAUUAUACGACAGAAAGGGAUGUUGAAACUCAAAAUAUUCCGAAACGCAAAACCUGGCCUGACAAAGCUGGUAAAGAAAUUAAAGAAAUAAACCAAACUGUGGGCCAAAAGCAAAAACCAUGGGCAAAAACCAUGGACAAGUCAACUCCUCUCAAAGCAGUUAAUUAAGAUAUACCCCCUUGGCAUUUUCUGUUUGCCAGGUAACGUUGAUCAUACGAUCUGUAUGAACAACAUCUCAACUUCUCACAGCCUGCCAGGUAAUGUUUUCUUAAUCUUCCCUUCUAUUUCUCGAGAAGUUAAUGGCAGGUGUCACUUUGCCCUCAUAUACACGAUGGAUUUAGCAUGAAUAUUCUUCACCGGACCCCUUGAAGGGCCCUCUCUGUUUUUCACCCUAACUCUGCUUCUCGGCUUUUACGGGUUUUUAUUUGUGUUUUAUAGAAGGUGAUAUAGCCAGGAAGCAGACAACAUGAAUAUCUAAAAAACAAAUCAAACUGUGAUCUUAUGCUUUGUUGAUAUGUCUGCUUCAACUUGACCCAACUUGGUCUCUACACGGCUGACCUCUGCUAGAACACAUGCCACGCUGUUUCUACAUAUAUAUAUAUAUAUAAGCAUUUCUUCUAGCAGAAAACCAUACGUUAAUCAUGAAAUACACAAGAUGAAAUUUACCUUGUUGUCGUUGCUAAAAUGAAGAACCCUGAAAGAUGGAGACGGUUUCUAGGAAAGAUGAAGAUGGAGACGGUUUCUGGAAAAUAAAAAUAUGAAGAUGAAGAUGGAAUAGACUUGGAAAUUUAGAAAAUACUUUUAAAAUUCAAACCCAUGAAACAAAGAAUCAAAGAAGAUGGAAAUUAGUUAUUUACCUUACUGUCGUUGCUUCAAUGAAGAAGGUUUAUGGGAAAGGAAGAUUGUGAAUUAAUUAUUGAGGAAGAUUGGGUUUUUGAUGGAAAUGGGAAGGAAGAUGAGGACGGUUUUGUGAUUGUGAGAGAACUGAGAUGAGAAUAUGUU
rnacentral:lncRNA from 1 species